rnacentral:misc_RNA from 1 species
GAAAUGCGAUAAGUAAUGUGAAUUGCAGAAUUCAGUGAAUCAUCGAAUCUUUGAACACAUAUUGCGCCCGCCAGUAUUCUGGCGGGCAUGCCUGUCCGAGCGUCAUUUCAACCAUCAAGCCCCCGGGCUUGUGUUGGGGACCUGCGGCUGCCCGCAGGCCCUGAAAACCAGUGGCGGGCUCGCUGUCACACCGAGCGUAGUAGCAAUCACCUCGCUCAGGGCGUGCUGCGGGUUCCGGCCGUUAAACAGCCUUACAAAACCCAAGGUUGACCUCGGAUCAGGUAGGAAGACCCGCUGAACUUAAGC